UACGUAGGGUGCAAGCGUUAAUCGGAAUUACUGGGCGUAAAGCGUGCGCAGGCGGUUGUGUAAGACAGCUGUGAAAUCCCCGGGCUCAACCUGGGAACUGCAUUUGUGACUGCACGGCUCGAGUGCGGCAGAGGGGGAUGGAAUUCCGCGUGUAGCAGUGAAAUGCGUAGAUAUGCGGAGGAACACCGAUGGCGAAGGCAAUCCCCUGGGCCUGCACUGACGCUCAUGCACGAAAGCGUGGGGAGCAAACAGG
rnacentral:rRNA from 1 species